CCUGUCAUCACAGGGCUCCUUAUGAAGUCAGAGGGAGAAAUGGACCAAUGGCAGUGCAGCAGGGACUUGCACGAAUUUCUAUUUCAUGACAGUUGGUCUUUAUGAAGUCAGAGCCAGGCGGGGACCAAUCAAGGAUGAGCGGCAGCCAAGAACUCCAAGAGCUUUUGGCUUAGGCUGGAAGAUGGAGGUCAGGGCUCCAGCAGACUCGUUGUCUGGAAAGCGCUCCCUCUCUGCUGCUGCUGUGCCCUCUUCAGAGAGAGAUGAAAAAAAGAAACUCACUCAUCCCGUGAAAGAGAGUGGAGCCCUAGUCCUGGAUUCCCCACCUUUUUAUACUGUAGCAUUGACCUUGAAGUUUGAACAUGAAGUUUGGAGGGACAUGGACAGUCCUCACCACUAGGCCUGCUCUGCAUGAAAGGAAUCUUUGAGGCUGAACUACAGGACCCUGGACAGGACGGCAAAGCCCAAAAGAAAUAAGAUCUCUGGGAUUGUCUGGGCCUGACCUAACCUGCGUGUUCCAGAGAAGGCUGCUGGGGCUCCCACACCAAGGGAAGGACAAGGACAUCCCGGACGGGAGGUUGUGGAUCUCAUCGGAAUAAUCAGAUAAGUCACAAACGAGGUAAUCUCUGCAAGUGUUACUAGCUGAUUCAAUUUCCAGAACUUCAGAUGUUGUCCUUUAAUGUCUAUUUCGUGACUCUAUAAAAAAUGGACUGGAGAGAAAAAACAAACAUGAAAGCAGAUUCUGAGAUAUCUGUGUUGUGUGCAGUUCAUGAUGUUUAGUGAGCAACAGUCUGAAGAUGGAAAUUGAGUCAAAGAUGAAUGAUUCAACUUGGCCAUGCUUCUUUAGAGUGCUUCCAAAUAAAACAGCAGCUAUAAGGCAAACAUGUUUCUGCUUUAAUCUUAUUUUAAAAUAUCUUUCCACUUUCCUAGCAUAAUGAUGACACACAAAUUUUAGAUGAAUUAGAUGUUUUUCCAAUCAUGUAAGCGACUGUUGGUAUUAUGAUCACUGUCAAAGCUUUUACGGUUACUCUUGAAGACUUGCUUCACCAACAUGUAAGUUUAGUGCAUUGAGUGGGAAUUGGGAACUUGCAUUUUUCUUCUUUCAGGGUGCAAAAAUUUCCAUCACUGUGAAGAGUAAUCCAUGCAGUUUGGACUCUGCUCCAUGACUGUGAUUUGCAUGUUGUAGAGAAGGAGCCAAGCUUGGGUUUCUGGGAGCUGGACUUCCACUGCUCCAGCAAACUCAGUAACACCUGUUCCCAGCUCUACGAUGAGGCUUCACGUUGCACUCCUCAAGAGUUCUAGAAACUGCAACUGAAAAACAAGAAAGGAAGAAGACAUCUUCCUAGACACUUGAAGCAGGUUAUUGUUCACAUCCCUUUAAAAACUAUAUGGAAAAAAAAAACUAUAUGACUAUAUCAAACACUAGAUAAAAAAGAAUGACCCAUGAACAAUGCAAAACCAAAACAUUAAACUCAUGGGAAAAUGGAAUUAACUUUGGGACAAAACAUUUUUCUUUAAUUAGUAUAGACCUUUUUUUAUAACAUGUCUUUUCUAUGAACUUUGUGAAGACGUCAUGUACUUGAAGCUGUAGAGGUGUCAUGAAUACUACUGCAGUUCUAUAUGGCAGAGCUGAACAGGCUGCUUUUGUCCUUGACAUGAAACGCAGGUUGUCUUCUGGUUCUACAACUGUUUUCUUUCUUUCUA